rnacentral:rRNA from 1 species
GUGGAUUAGAUACCCUAGUAGUCCACGCCGUAAACGAUGAAUACUAGGUGUAGGAGGUAUCGACUCCUUCUGUGCCGCAGUUAACACAAUAAGUAUUCCGCCUGGGGAGUACGGUCGCAAGAUUAAAACUCAAAGGAAUUGACGGGGGCCCGCACAAGCAGCGGAGCAUGUGGUUUAAUUCGAAGCAACGCGAAGAACCUUACCCAGACUUGACAUCUCCUGAAUUAAUCGUAAUGGAUGAAUUCCCUUCGGGGACAGGAAGACAGGUGGUGCACGGUUGUCGCCAGCU